GACGAACGCUGGCGGCGUGCCUAACACAUGCAAGUCGAACGGAGAUGUUAAGAGAGAGUAAUUAGCUUGCUAAAAACAAUCAAUUAACAUCUUAGUGGCGGACGGGUGAGUAACGCGUGGGUAACCUGCCUCAUACAGGGGGAUAACACUUAGAAAUAGGUGCUAAUACCGCAUAAGCGCACAGCAUCGCAUGAUGCAGUGUGAAAAGCUCCGGCGGUAUGAGAUGGACCCGCGUCUGAUUAGCUGGUUGGUGGGGUAACGGCCCACCAAGGCGACGAUCAGUAGCCGGCCUGAGAGGGUGAACGGCCACAUUGGGACUGAGACACGGCCCAA
rnacentral:rRNA from 1 species